ensembl:lncRNA
GGCAGACAAUGAUUUGACGUUGGGGAGUUAUGAUUGUAUGUGUGUGUGUGUGUAGGUCAGCCUUCUCUCUACUGUCCUCCAGAUGGCCCAGGUGACGUCCUAGAUGCGCAUGUUUGAAGAUGGAGAGGACGGAAGAUACACACUCUAUCAGACAUGUGCUCCUCAAACAUCUCCAGAAGCCCAUGGGCCAGACAGCAUCAGUGGACAGUAAGUGAAUGGGAGCACGGAGGGCCCGUCAACUCAUGAGCGAGGUUAAAGACGCCAUGCGGCAACAUCGCAGAUUAAUACCCUCGUCUCCAACCGUCAGCGAGAGAUUUACGUGCUCUCUGCAGUAAGAAAGAGGCAGAUCAACCUCGGGCCGAUUAUCGCUUGAUUUCUCUCGGGCUGCGGCUGCAGCUGGGGAUGGCGGGCGUGUUGCAGGUAGGGGAUUGUGGGAGAAGAUUGAGGGACGCCCGACAGGUGCUAAAGUUUCAAUGCCAGUGAGAAUUGAUCCAAGCUUGGCCCACAUUCCC